rnacentral:rRNA from 1 species
CGUGUAGGCGGUUUGCACAGUUAGAUGUGAAAUCCCCGGGCUUAACCUGGGAGCUGCAUUUAAGACGUGUAGACUAGAGUGUGAGAGAGGGUUGUGGAAUUCCCAGUGUAGAGGUGAAAUUCGUAGAUAUUGGGAAGAACACCGGUGGCGAAGGCGGCAACCUGGCUCAUGACUGACGCUGAGGCGCGAAAGCGUGGGGAGCAAACA